GCUUGCUUCUCUGAUGUUAGCGGCGGACGGGUGAGUAACACGUGGAUAACCUACCUAUAAGACUGGGAUAACUUCGGGAAACCGGAGCUAAUACCGGAUAAUAUUUUGAACCGCAUGGUUCAAAAGUGAAAGACGGUCUUGCUGUCACUUAUAGAUGGAUCCGCGCUGCAUUAGCUAGUUGGUAAGGUAACGGCUUACCAAGGCAACGAUGCAUAGCCGACCUGAGAGGGUGAUCGCCACACUGGAACUGAACACGGUCCAGACUCCUACGGGAGGCAGCAGUAGGGAAUCUUCCGCAAUGGGCGAAAGCCUGACGGAGCAACGCCGCGUGAGUGAUGAAGGUCUUCGGAUCGUAAAACUCUGUUAUUAGGGAAGAACAUAUGUGUAAGUAACUGUGCACAUCUUGACGGUACCUAAUCAGAAAGCCACGGCUAACUACGUGCCAGCAGCCGCGGUAAUACGUAGGUGGCAAGCGUUAUCCGGAAUUAUUGGGCGUAAAGCGCGCGUAGGCGGUUUUUUAAGUCUGAUGUGAAAGCCCACGGCUCAACCGUGGAGGGUCAUUGGAAACUGGAAAACUUGAGUGCAGAAGAGGAAAGUGGAAUUCCAUGUGUAGCGGUGAAAUGCGCAGAGAUAUGGAGGAACACCAGUGGCGAAGGCGACUUUCUGGUCUGUAACUGACGCUGAUGUGCGAAAGCGUGGGGAUCAAACAGGAUUAGAUACCCUGGUAGUCCACGCCGUAAACGAUGAGUGCUAAGUGUUAGGGGGUUUCCGCCCCUUAGUGCUGCAGCUAACGCAUUAAGCACUCCGCCUGGGGAGUACGACCGCAAGGUUGAAACUCAAAGGAAUUGACGGGGACCCGCACAAGCGGUGGAGCAUGUGGUUUAAUUCGAAGCAACGCGAAGAACCUUACCAAAUCUUGACAUCCUUUGACAACUCUAGAGAUAGAGCCUUCCCCUUCGGGGGACAAAGUGACAGGUGGUGCAUGGUUGUCGUCAGCUCGUGUCGUGAGAUGUUGGGUUAAGUCCCGCAACGAGCGCAACCCUUAAGCUUAGUUGCCAUCAUUAAGUUGGGCACUCUAAGUUGACUGCCGGUGACAAACCGGAGAAGGGGGGGAUGACGUCAAAUCAUCAUGCCCCUUAUGAUUUGGGCUACACACGUGCUACAAUGGACAAUACAAAGGGCAGCGAAACCGCGAGGUCAAGCAAAUCCCAUAAAGUUGUUCUCAGUUCGGAUUGUAGUCUGCAACUCGACUACAUGAAGCUGGAAUCGCUAGUAAUCGUAGAUCAGCAUGCUACGGUGAAUACGUUCCCGGGUCUUGUACACACCGCCCGUCACACCACGAGAGUUUGUAACACCCGAAGCCGGUGGAGUAACC
rnacentral:rRNA from 1 species